GACGAACCGUGCGAACGUUAUUCGGAAUCACUGGGCUUAAAGCGCGUGUAGGCGGGACGGCACGUCGGUCGCUGAAAUCCCCCGGCUCAACCGGGGAACGGGCGCCGAUACGACCGUCCUGGAGGGACGUAGGGGGACCUGGAACUUCCGGUGGAGCGGUGAAAUGCGUUGAGAUCGGAAGGAACGCCCGUGGCGAAAGCGAGGUCCUGGACGUUUUCUGACGCUGAGACGCGAAAGCCAGGGGAGCGAACGGG
rnacentral:rRNA from 2 species